UACGUAGGGUGCAAGCAUUAAUCGGAAUUACUGGGCGUAAAGCGUGCGCAGGCGGUUCGGAAAGAAAGAUGUGAAAUCCCAGGGCUUAACCUUGGAACUGCAUUUUUAACUGCCGGGCUAGAGUAUGUCAGAGGGGGGUAGAAUUCCACGUGUAGCAGUGAAAUGCGUAGAGAUGUGGAGGAAUACCGAUGGCGAAGGCAGCCCCCUGGGAUAAUACUGACGCUCAUGCACGAAAGCGUGGGGAGCAAACAGG
rnacentral:rRNA from 1 species